GGGCUUGUCGUUUAAUGGUAGGACACGACUCUUAUAAAGUCGAUGCCAUGGUUCGAUUCCAUGCGAGCCCACUA
rnacentral:tRNA from 2 species